rnacentral:misc_RNA from 1 species
AUUUGGUCCGACCUGCCAGAUCCACAUGCCCAAAACUACAAUGGAGGGAAAAAUGAAAUAGGUGGAGAGGAAAGUACCAUUGAAUUAGCCAAUAGUUGCCACGCGCUUAGACCAAGAGCAAAGGUUCAGUUGAUUAGAAAAUACGAUAGCGGCAAUGGCUAAGACAAAAACAACGACAGAGGGUAGGGGAAGCUUCGAAUCCUUUGCCUAAGACAAUAACACAAGGAGAUACUUCUAUUGUAAAGCCUACUGCUAGAACCUUGUUGUUUGAAGAUGCUGGAACUGUUGCUAAGAAGGUGGAUGUGCCGUCUUUUGAUGAAAAUGACCUUGGGCUUGUGGAAACAAUAGCACCAGGGCCUGCAAAAUUAGCAUCUCUAUCAUACUCUAACUCUAGUACAGGUGUCGGAAAUGGAUAUGUAUCCAUGUGCCAGACUUGUAAACUUCCUAAUAAAAAAUAUGGGAUAUGAAUCAAGAUUUAG